ACUUUUAAUAAGGAAAAAUACACUUUCUUUAUGUGCAGAAAGAUAAGUUGAUAGAAGGAUUAGACAACCAAUGCGGAUAAUGAUACUUGUUGUACAUUUGUUGAUUGGUCAUGUCAGAUGACAAGCCCGCCCUAACUUCCUCUGGUCAAGAUGGCUUAAGCGACAGCAGACAUGCGAAAAUUUCUCUGAACAGAUUAAGCUAAUUCGAAGUGAAUUACAAGUGAAUUUAGGAUACAAUUGCAGAUAUUUUAUUGAGGAGUGACAGUAACUUGAAAAGAAACAGAUUUAUAAAGAAAUAACGAAGAUUUGCAACGUUCUUCUAUCGCCCUCUGUGACGACCGCGUGAAAGAAAAAUUUUCUGCAUUCGCCAUUAAGAUCGUUGAAAACCGAACUUUGUACAACUUUGAACAUAUUCCUUGGCCGGGUUUUUUUUUUUGUUGUUGGAUUUGAACUGCUGUGCUGGAUCCUGGAUUCGUCCGCCCUGCUUGCCUUCCCUGGAGAGCUACAGCGGCGCGCGGACUGGCGAGCCACCCAUGUGAUCGACCUGAAAUCUUAAAGAGAAGGAAAGAGUUCAAUUGUGCUUUCUAAGAUGGUGGUAGGACAAGAGUUUGAAUUCUACAAACUGGAACUCAGCAACAAGUGGUCCAACAACCACACGGACUAAACUGAUUUGCACAGAUAGUGUUUUAGAAAAGUGUUUUGGUGUUAUAGUGUGAUAAGUUUCCUUUGCAUAGGUACUUUCAGUAGUACUACAUAAGGGUCUUGGUUUCAAAAUAAAAGUCCUAAAAUCUAAUUAGUGACAAAUCAUACUAGAACCAAAUAACUAAUAAUAGGGAUUAACUGAAACAUCAAAGAAAUACUAAAAGUAUGGUUAAGGUAUAAAGAUAGGAAAAAUAGUCAAAUUAGUGGAACCAGAGAAAAUAUAAAUACAGACACAAAGUAAAAGGGCUUGGGACCAACUUGUAUU